AACAUCUUCUUACCAAAAAGUGCAAAGGUAAGGAGAUACGUUCUGCGCAUGCGCAGCCCUAUCUCCUUAAAUACGCAUAAUUUGUUAAAAGGAUAUUAAGCAAAGUUGUAGCCCUCAUCAUGACGAACAACUUUUGUUAACAUCUUCUUACCAAAAAGUGCAAAGGUAAGGAGAUACGUUCUGCGCAUGCGCAGCUCUAUCUCCUUAAAUACGCAUAAUUUGUUAAAAGGAUAUU
rnacentral:miRNA from 1 species